rnacentral:sRNA from 1 species
CCAUGAUUUUGUGCGCAUUGAUUAAAUCAAGUCCAGUAGUGGGCUCAUCAACUAAUAAAACUUGGGAAUUGGCAAAGAACAAUUUAGCUACUUCCACACGUUGUUUUUGACCACCUGACAAGUCCUUAAUAAUGUAAGUGACAUAUUCCUUUAGGUUAACCUCUUCAAGGAUUUGGAUAAUUUGUUCUCUUAGCGAUUGAGGUUCCACUAAAAAUAACCGUUGUCACCAUUUCAGGUUAUUUUUCGCUUCCCUUCAAAUGGCGUCAUAAACGAAGUCAGUGUCGAUUAAAUUAGGUACUUGAUCUAAAAAACUGAACUGUUUUUUUAAUUGUUUGUAAUCCUUGUUAUUAGAAGCAAUACCAUUGAAAUAAAUGGUUCCCUUCGAAAUUGUUUUGGUGUUAGUAAUGCAGUUUAAAAGACUAGUUUUACCAACACCAGAUUUACCCAACAAGCAAAUGUGUUCACCAGGUGAAAUUGUAAAGUUAAUGUUUUCUAAAAGUGGUGCUCCGUUAUAUCUAAGGGAAACUUGAUCAAAAACUAAGACUGGAUUAACCAUAUGUUUUAUGAAUUACAUCCAAGAUUUCUUUGUUAGGGUCCGUAAUCAAAUUGUAACCGUUGUAACCAUAUGAAGGGCCAUAAAUAUCUUGUUUUGUUUUAGCUAGUUCCACAAAAACUUCAGCAAUUGCUUUUUGAUAGCGAUCACUUAAAGUAUCACUUACAAUGCCAAUGUCAUACAGCAUUGGAUCAGUAUAGGUUAAGAUUUCGACUUUAUUAUUUUUAUUAUUGCUUUUUUCUGAAUCACCUUUGCCAUUAUUUUCUGUUGGUGUAUAAAAGUGAUUAGUUGCAUUCUUGUCGUUGUGAGUUCAAGCAAAGGAAUUAGCAUCAUCAAAGACAAUUUUGAUUUUAUUGUCUCUACCUAUUUCCCGACCUCUAACAUUAGCAAACUUAUCAGGGUUUUGGUUAAUUGCAUUUUGCAAACCGGGGUAACUAGAGCCAAAGUGCUUUCUUAAUAAAAGAUCAGGUAGUUGGAACUUUCCAGCUGAACCACUUGAGCCAUGACCGAUGCCAUAAUUCAUGAAAUCACUUCAUUUCUUUUGAUCUCAAGCUUCUUUAAUUUUUUUAAUUUCUUCCUCACUACCUGUGAUUAAAAUCAUGCCUCUGUAGAAAUUGAUUAGUUUGUUUGUUUCAUACAAAAAGUUAUAGCGGCUACCGGUUCAUUGUUGUGCGGUAUCUUCUCAAUCUUUAUAUGGCGUUUUUGAAAAUAAAGUGGUCAUUUUUUCUGCUUUAGAUUUCAACUGACCGUCACUGUAAUAAUCUAAAUUGGUGUCUUCCUUAAAUGCAUCAGUUUGAGUUUGAAGAAUAAGAUUAAAUUCUUCUAUUCCGUUAUCUUUAAUACUUUGAGAAUUAACGAAAGCAAAGUCAGCUUUAGCAGUUUGAAUGUUGCUAAUUUUGGUAAAAGAGUCAUCAAUAAUGUUGAAGCUAACGGUAACCUUUUUAUCU